CCGGCCGCGAGGCCGCAAGCACUGGGUGGACCGUCGGACGGAUCGCGGGACCGAACGACGGACGCCCGGGGCCGGCGUGGGGCUGGUCGGCUGCCCGGGGCGAGGGCGGGAGACUUCCUGCUCAGAACCAGUCCGACCAGCUUGGCGCUGGGACGCCUCCCCGCGCUGUGCCGCGGCCCGGGGUGCCGAGGAGCUGGGCUGGGGGCGGGGACCCCUGCCGGGAACCCGACUUAGCCCGGAGACGCUCAAGAGCAAGAAGCCGAGCGGAAAAGUUAGCGCAGGUUGUGGAAAUCAUAUGAGUUCCCUGCUAGUGACAUUGGAGUGCACAGAUGAAUAUCGACAAGGCUCCAGGGAGUUCUGAACAGAGGCCAAGGCAGGCCCUGGAGCUGUAUGCUGCUUACAGGAAAAGAGAAAGAGGGGACCCCAAUAGUCUAGGUCCCUGGAUCCUCUGACCCGGGGCCUGACACUGUCAGGGAAGCUGCUGUCUCCCUAGGGACCUACUGAAUGUUCUUCCCAUGGCUGGUCAGUGCUGACACCUCAACACAGGAAGAGAAAUACUCCUAUGAAGUCAUCUGAAGCCUGGUCAUGCCAGGGACACUUCACGAAGGCAGGAACAGUCCUGUUUCUAAAAGCCCAAAAUCUAACAGCCUCUCUACAGAUAUAAAAGCCCAAAGACAUGGAAAGUUUGUAUGCAGACAACCCUAGAAGUAAGGAAAAGUGAAUGACAUAUAUGUCAAUGCCCAGAAAGUUCCUUGAGAUCAGACACUGUACAUUUAUGGGAUACUUUCUAAGUGCCAGCUACUGUACUUGGUGCUGGAUCAGUGCAUCCAUUUCCCGGGGCUCCCGUGAUGAAGUGCCACAAACUGGAUGGCUUUAAACAACAGAAGUUUACUCUCUCACAGUUCUGAAGGUUAGAAGUCUGCCAUGAAGAUGUGAGCACAGCCAGCCUCUCUCCAAAGGCUCCAGAGGAGAAUCCUUCCUUGCUUCUUCCCAGAGCUCCUUGGCAUACAGCUGCAUUACUCCAAGAUUUGCCUCUCUUGUCACACAGCAUUCUGCCUGUGUCUCUUGUUUGUGUUCAAGUAUCCCUCCACCCUAAUUUAGUAUGACCUCAUUUUAGCUUGAUUAUGCCUGCAAAUACCCUAUUUCCAAAUGAGGUCACAUUCACAGGUACCAGAAGUUAUGAAUUGAACACAUCUUUUUUGGGAUGUGUUCUACCCAUUAUAAUUCAUUCUACCCACUAUAAUCACAAGUGGCUUUGACAUUCAGUGACACAAAGAUGAUAAGGACUCGGUUCCUGACCUCAGGACAUUCUCAGUCUAUCAGUGAAGACAAACACAUGCUGGUGAACACACACACAUACACAAGCACACAUAUACCCCGAGCCUCAUUCAAGUCAGACUGUGAUUAAAAAUGGAAAUUGUGUCAUCAGGAGGGAUUGGGGAAGUCUUCACACAAGAAAGAACAUCUAAGUUGGGCCUUGAAGGACUUGAGGUUGGCCCGCAGAUCCAUGGACACCUUGUGCUUGGAGCCCAGCAGGGCCCGGAGCAUGGCGUCAGCCGAGACACGGACUCGACGCAGGGGCGGGCGCUUGAACUUCCCACGGAGGUCCAUCACCUUCAGCUUCAGGUCCUUAAUCUGUAGGCCUAUAAGGAGGAUCAAAGGCUAUAACGAACAUGAAAGCACUUCACAAAGCUUUGCACAGGAUCAGCUCUGCAUGGAAUAGGAUGGUCCCCCCAGGACUGGACCAGCUCUCAGAGUGGGUGAGGAAGAGCUUGUGCUCAGCAAGGAUGCAGAGUCACACCCAACCCUGCUGCAAUACCAGUCCUUCCAGUGACAUGGUACACUGGCACAGCAACUCCCUGGACACUAGGAAGCCCCACAUCCAGAAUCUUCACCUGACGUUUCCAUCUCCUGGGAAUUUGUUCAGCCACUAAAUACCCUACACCCCCUGGACUCCCACCAGGCCUUAACACAGGCUCUUCCCUCUCCUCAGAUGCCAACCCCACCUUCCCACUUUUACCAGUCGUUAGAGUUAACCAAGACAGAGAUACCCCAAAUAUCACUUACCUCGCUUCAGGCAUCCAUCACAGGAAGGACGGGGAAAGAGCAGAACACAGAGUGAGUAUGAACAAUGAGGAUUACAUGUGCAGUCGCAGAACCUCACAGACCAGCUUGGGGGAGGAGGGGGCCAGUGACAACAGUGAGCCAGAAAGUCAUCAGGCAUCAGGCAAGGGGAGCGGUUUGAGGUUCCGGCAGAAUAAAAUAAAAAUUCAACAGCCCUUUGAACUACGGGGCAUUCUUAUUGGGAGGUACUGGGCAUCGUAAGUUGGGGACAAGUGGUGGAAGGGGAGGGAAGCCUUAGCGUAGGGUUCCAGCAACGUGAAAGCAUCCAUCCACGGGUGCGUGGGUAAAUUCCCAAAGCUUUGUUCACCUACUGCACCAGUGUUAAGUGGUGGCCUGGUACAUGCAAUUCAUGUGAUAGAUCAAGACAGGAAAUCUCUGAGGCACAAGCCAAAAAGGCACUCCCAGGGCAACCUGGGAGUGAGUUCUGCUCAAUGGCUGGGAGGACACAGGCAGCACAGGGGAAACCAUCAAGUGCUGCCCCUGUUUGAGGACCUGGUCUCUUAGGGAAAAGCUUUGGGGGUUGAAAACAUGGUGCCUCCACUGCGGGGCUGAAGUCUGUGGCAAAGGGACUUGCCUUCCUGGGGCCCCAGAUGGCAGUGAGACUACUUACACUUCCGGCAUGGUGGCAGUGAGACAGCACCUAGGGGGCACAGAGGAAUCAUUCAUAAGGGAAAGUGGAAACCCCUGCCCCUGCCCAGCUGGGCCUUGGGAGCCCAGCCUAGGAGACAGAGUCAGAACACAAAAGGAAGAAAUCAGACACAUUGGAUUCCAGCAGGUCAAGAUGGGACAGGGUUGCAGGGCAGGGGUCAGCUAACUACAGCCCAUAAGCCUGACCUGGCUCCCAGCCUGUUUUUGCUUAAAGAAUUGUAAGCUUUUUUUUUUUUUUUUUUUUUAAGAAUUUGCAACAGAAACCUUAUGUGAGCUACAAAGCUAUCUGGCCCUUUCCAGAUAAAGCUUGCCAAUCCCAGUGGAGAACAGAAUGGAGUCCAUAGGAAAUAUGUUUGGAAAGUGAGAGCAGCUGGGCGCAGUGGCUCAUGCCUGUAAUCCCAGCACUUUGGGAGGCCAAGGCGGGCAGUUCAUGAGGUAAGGAGUUCAAGACCAGCCUGGCCAAUAUGGUCAAACCCCGUCUCUACUAAUGAUACAAAAAUUAGCCAGCAUGGUGGUGCACGCCUAUAGUCCCAGCUACUCAGGAGGCUGAGGCAGAAGAAUUGCUUGAACCCAGGAGGCGGAGGUUACAGUGAGCCGAGAUCGCACCACUGCACUCCAGCCUGGGUAACAGAAUGAGUCUCCUUCUCAAAAAAAAAAAAAAAAAAAUAAGUGAGAGUGUAGCUCACUCAUGAGGGCCUUGAAGGACAGGCUGAGUUUAGACUUUAUCCUGUGGAAUAAGGGUGGUCAUUGAAGGGCUCAGAGAGAGGAAGGCCUAGAAAGUGAAUGAGCAGAGUGGAUGCUGGAAAACGGGUAGCUGCCACAUGGCACAACUCCAUCCACAGAUGGCAAUGCAACUGGCACCUCCAGGGUGGGGCAGUGGGAGGCCUUGAGUGGGAGAGAAUAAGCCGCAAGGCAGGGCAAAUCCCGUGUUCACCCUAGUCUGUCUUUCCCCUCUCUGGGUUGGUUUUCCUCUCUGCAAAAUUAGGGGUUAAAUCAGUGAGUUUCCUCUUGAUGUUUAUUAUUAAUAAUAAGUAAUUAAAAUAAUAUUUAAUUAAUAUUAUUUGGUUGAAUCCUUUGUC
rnacentral:lncRNA from 10 species